rnacentral:rRNA from 1 species
CCUACGGUGUGCAGCAGUGGGGAAUAUUGCACAAUGGGGGAAACCCUGAUGCAGCGACGCAGCGUGAGUGAAGAAGUAUCUCGGUAUGUAAAGCUCUAUCUGUAGGGAAGAAAAUGACGGUACCUGAUUAAGAAGCCCCGGCUAACUACGUGCCAGCAGCCGCGGUAAUACGUAGGGGGCAAGCUUAAUCCGGAUUUACCGGGGGUUAAGGGAGCGUAGACGGCAGCACAAGUCUGGAGUGAAAGGCCGGGGCUUAACCCCGGAACUGCUGUGGAAACUGUGCAGCUGGAGUGCAGGAGAGGUAAGUGGAAUUCCUAGUGUAGCGGUGAAAUGCGUAGAUAUUAGGAGGAACACCAGUGGCGAAGGCGGCUUACUGGACUGUAACUGACGUUGAGGCUCGAAAGCGUGGGGAGCAAACAGGAUUAGAUACCCGUGUAGUC